CAGCAGCCGCGGGAAUACGGAGGGCGCGAGCGUUACCCGGAUUUACUGGGCGUAAAGGGCGUGUAGGCGGCCUGGGGCGUCCCAUGUGAAAGGCCACGGCUCAACCGUGGAGGAGCGUGGGAUACGCUCAGGCUAGAGGGUGGGAGAGGGUGGUGGAAUUCCCGGAGUAGCGGUGAAAUGCGCAGAUACCGGGAGGAACGCCGAUGGCGAAGGCAGCCGCCUGGUCCACUUCUGACGCUGAGGAGUGAAAGCGUGGGGAGCGAACAGGAUUAGAGACCCCGGUAGUCCCUGUCUCUUAUAC
rnacentral:rRNA from 1 species